rnacentral:rRNA from 1 species
GACGUAGGGCGCAAGCGUUGUCCGGAUUUAUUGGGCGUAAAGGGCUCGUAGGCGGCCAACUAAGUCGGACGUGAAAUCCCUCAGCUUAACUGGGGAACUGCGUCCGAUACUGGAUGGCUUGGAUUUGGGAGAGGGAUGCGGAAUUCCAGGUGUAGCGGUGAAAUGCGUAGAUAUCUGGAGGAACACCGGUGGCGAAGGCGGCAUCCUGGACCAAUAUUGACGCUGAGGAGCGAAAGCUAGGGGAGCAAACGGG